CUCCCGUUGUCCUGCCGGACCCGACUGCUAUCAGAGUGGGACUAAGCCAUGCGAGUCAACGCAGCAAUGCGUGGCAUACGGCUCAGUAACACGUAGUCAACAUGCCCAGGGGACGUGGAUAACCUCGGGAAACUGAGGAUAAACCGCGAUAGGCCAAGGUUUCUGGAAUGGACACUGGCUGAAACCUACAUGGCCCCUGGAUUGGACUGCGGCCGAUCAGGCUGUUGGUGAGGUAAUGGCCCACCAAACCUGUAACCGGUACGGGCUUUGAGAGAAGGAGCCCGGAGAUGGGCACUGAGACAAGGGCCCAGGCCCUAUGGGGCGCAGCAGGCGCGAAAAUUCUGCAAUAGGCGAAAGCUUGACAGAGUUACUCUGAGUGAUGCCCGCUAAGGGCAUCUUUUGGCACCUCUAAAAAUGGUGCAGAAUAAGGGGUGGGCAAGUCUGGUGUCAGCCGCCACGGUAAUACCAGCACCCCGAGUGGUCGGGACGAUUAUUGGGCCUAAAGCAUCCGUAGCUUGUUCUGCAAGUCCUCCGUUAAAUCCACCUGCUCAACAGAUGGGCUGCGGAGGAUACUACAGGGCUAGGAGGCGGGAGAGGCAAGCGGUACUCAGUGGGUAGGGGUAAAAUCCUCUGAUCCACUGAAGACCACCAGUGGCGAAGGCGGCUUGCCAGAACGCGCUCGACGGUGAGGGAUGAAAGCUGGGGGAGCAAACCGGAUUAGAUACCCGGGUAGUCCCAGCUGUAAACGAUGCAGACUCGGUGAUGGGUUGGCUUUGCGCCAACCCAGUGCCGCAGGGAAGCCGUUAAGUCUGCCGCCUGGGGAGUACGGUCGCAAGACUGAAACUUAAAGGAAUUGGCGGGGGAGCA
rnacentral:rRNA from 1 species